rnacentral:rRNA from 1 species
CUACGGGUGGCUCCAGUGGGGAAUAUUGCACAAUGGGCGCAAGCCUGAUGCAGCCAUGCCGCGUGUAUGAAGAAGGCCUUCGGGUUGUAAAGUACUUUCAGCGGGGAGGAAGGGAGUAAAGUUAAUACCUUUGCUCAUUGACGUUACCCGCAGAAGAAGCACCGGCUAACUCCGUGCCAGCAGCCGCGGUAAUACGGAGGGUGCAAGCGUUAAUCGGAAUUACUGGGCGUAAAGCGCACGCAGGCGGUGUGUUAAGUCAGAUGUGAAAUCCCCGGGCUCAACCUGGGAACUGCAUCUGAUACUGGCAAGCUUGAGUCUGGUAGAGGGGGGUAGAAUUCCAGGUGUAGCGGUGAAAUGCGUAGAGAUCUGGAGGAAUACCGGUGGCGAAGGCGGCCCCCUGGACGAAGACUGACGCUCAGGUGCGAAAGCGUGGGGAGCAAACAGGAUUAGAUACCCGAGUAGUC